UGACGUUAUAAUAAAUUGGCAGAGUCCGUGCAAGAGUCGCUGGAGCGUCGCUUCGGGCGCGUGGGCGGGCGCAUCCCGGUGACGCCCUCCGAGUCCUUCCAGAAGCGCAUCUCCGGUGCCUCCGAGAAGGACAUCGUGCACUCCGGCCUUGACUACACCAUGGAGCGCUCUGCUAGGGCUAUCAUGAAGACUGCCAUGAAGUUCAACCUCGGUCUGGACCUGAGAACGGCGGCGUACGCCAACUCCAUCGAGAAGAUCUUCACAACUUACGCCGACGCGGGUCUCGCUUUCUAAUCUAUUCAUAUUAAUACGAAUUUCAAGUAUUGUCUGCAUUUGAAAGACUCCCAUUUAGCCCCCCAUGCACUUGAGUCAUUACAGAUAAGACGUUAUAUACACAGUAUUUUAUUUCUUGAAAUCAUGGCUUUUAUAAUUUUAACUUGUUGUUUAUCUUAUAAGUAAAAAAUGUGAUUUUCCAACUGUAAUGUCUUGGUUUUCGAAUUAAAUUGUUUUACCGUUA